rnacentral:rRNA from 1 species
AGCGAACGCUGGCGGCAGGCCUAACACAUGCAAGUCGAACGAACCUUUCGGGGUUAGUGGCGGACGGGUGAGUAACCCGUGGGAACGUGCCUUUAGGUUCGGAAUAACUCAGGGAAACUUGUGCUAAUACCGAAUGUGCCCUUCGGGGGAAAGAUUUAUCGCCUUUAGAGCGGCCCGCGUCUGAUUAGCUAGUUGGUUGAGGUAAUGGCUCACCAAGGCGAAGAUCAGUAGCUGGUCUGAGAGGAUGAUCAGCCACAUUGGGACUGAGACACGGCCCACACUCCUACGGGAGGCAGCAGUGGGGAAUCUUGCGCAAUGGGCGAAAGCCUGACGCAGCCAUGCCGCGUGAAUGAUGAAGGUCUUAGGAUGGUAAAAUUCUUUCACCGGGGACGAUAAUGACGGUACCCGGAGAAGAAGCCCCGGCUAACUUCGUG